rnacentral:lncRNA from 1 species
GGUACAAACAAGACCUAAGGUAGCCAUUCUAUGCAGUGAACAAUAAUUGAUAUGUCCUAAUCUAGCAUGCCAAAUAUUGGAAAAGUCAACAAUAUAAACAGAAGCAUUAUUCUUAUUAAUGUUAUUAGUAGCAGCAAUUACAUUGAGUUUGAACAUCCUAUUAGCAAGAUAUCCAUUUCUGACAAACAUUCCUCCCUUAGUAAGGACAAAUUUGUCAGACUCAUACAAGCUUAAAUGCUUUGUUUCUUAACAAAGGUCUUGAUACUAGUGUGAAUAUCCAAAUCGUGCAGUAUAUCUAGGAGGGUUAGUUCUUUGCUCGAGGUAAAUUUCAGAAUCACGUUUUCUUUGCAUGUGGUCACAAAGGCUAAGGCAUUGCCCAUGAAUAGAUUUCCUUCAUUGUUGAGUUGUUGGUAUGUAGUGAAAAGAUUUAUGUCACCACAAACAUGUUUGGUGGCUCCAGUAUCAAUCCACCACCCUUAUGCAUCAACCACCAAAUUAACCUUAGACAUAACAGUAGCAAGCUUUUCCUCUGCCAUGUUUGCUUGAUUAUUGUUGUCAUUCGAGUUUGCAGCAGCAUUUUGAUCCUUCUCAUGGCGGCACACUUCUGCUUUAUGCCCAGGUUUACCACAGACCCAACAAAAUCCUUUGAUACGUUGAUUCUUGAAACUUUUUCCUUUUGGUCUAAGAAAGAUGUCAUCCUUUGUGAUUCCUCUCAUGUUCCUUUUCUCAUAAUGAGGGAAUUUUUUUCGUUGAUGUUUAUGCUUCAAUAACAUAAGCCUUUGUUUCUAUAGAAAAAGCCUUACCAAUCUUCUCACUUUUUCUGUUAUCUUCUUCAAUACAAAGCCUGACAGCCAAUUCCUCCAUGAUCAUCUCUUUACGCUUAUGUUUCAGAUAUCUUUUGAAGUCCUUCCAUCCAUGUGGCAAUUUUUCUAUAACAGCAGCCACUUGAAAAUUAUCACUUAUAUUCAUGCCUUCAGAGUGAAUGUCAUGAAUUAUGAUUUGAUUCUUCAACUUGUUUCACCACUGGUUUGGAAUCAGUCAUUUUGAAAUCCAAAAAUUUUCCAACAACGAACUUCUUGGAGCCUGCAUCCUCCAUUUUGUAUUUCUUUUCCAACGACACCCAUAAGUCUUUGGUUGUCUUGCAAGAUACAUACACAUCAUAAAGUGUGUCGUCCAGUCUUUUGAGAAUGUAAUAGCUUAACCCUCGUUAUUGGCGUUGGCACUUUUUCUUUACAUAAAAAAAAGGAAAAUAAAGUUUUUGCCUGCCAAGCCACCUUUCUCUUUUCCAAGCAUCAAUGACAUUCAUAGUGUCUUUUGUCGACUGGGAAUUCUUUUGGUUGAGGAGCCUCUUCCUUCACAACGUGUGCAAGAUUCAAUGUUGUUAAAUAAAACAUCUUUUGUUGGCAAUGUUUGAAGUCUCCUCCUUUAAAUUUUUCUGGUUUCUCAGCAUGAGGGUUCUUGGUGCCACUUAUAUUGACUGAUUGCUCCAUAACAAAGUUUUAUGUCAAUAAGAUUAUUGGAAACAAAACAGAAAGUAUGAUUUAUUGAUAACAGUGUUAGAAAUUACAAAUUACUAGUAAUAAUAAGUAUAAUGUAAAUAAAAAUGAAAAAUAUUAAAUAAGCAAGAAUUUAUUAACAAAUGGAUGAUAGAGGCUUGUAAGGUUGCAAUGUCCUUAUAGACAUAAAUGUGGCCUCUACACUUGUACAAUAGUUCUUAUAGGCUUCUGUCACCAGGAUUCAACUAUCACAAUCAAAGUCCUUACACUAGGGCUUUGAUUCUAUCGAAUGUAUUGAGUGUUUCUCUCCAAUAUAUUAAUGUUAUAUGAAAAUUGAGUUGUGAAAAUGUUGAUAUUUUGAAUGGAACGGGUUGGUAAAUUUAUAGACUUGUUCACGCCUUUUGGACGAGAAUGAACAACUACUUCUUGCAGCUAUGUCAUUUGACUGAUAACUAAUCAUUUCAGUUGCAACGUUUGAUUUGAAUUCAAACUCAUAGUUAUUUGAAUACACACACACCUAUAUAUAUAUA